UUCGUCAAUAUUCAUUUCUUGAAAGAGGGAGAAGGAAGGGAACCUGGGCCUGUUGUGUAGCUGACACAGUUCACUCUUCCCCUUAACUGGAGCCCAGAUGGCAAUAAUUCCCAACUUGAGGGAAGAGAACCUGAAUCUUUAACUUCCCUCUCAGUAUCAGUGAUCAGGAAAGCCCUUUUUGUCCCUGCCUUUGAACAGGAAACCGGUCGGGAGGGGAAAAAACCUAGUGACAUGGUGCACAUCAAUUUCAAGAGUCCCUGAAAUCUGCGCCCAAGCUCUGUAGGAGGCGAUAGCAGUAGUAACAAUCAUCAUUGGCAGCGUCAGCAAUGACCGAGACCCAAUGUUGAGUCGCACAUCUCCGCGCCAGGCACUUGCAACAUUUCAUAUAGUCCUAACAAGCCUCCAAGGUUAUCCCCAAGUGAGGAAUGAGGAGGAACCGAGACUCACUUGAAUCACUGACUUUCCAACGUGCCUCUCUAAUGGCUAGCAGGGUGCAAACUCAUUCUUUUGGACACACCACUAAAAUCAUUCUCAGGUUUCCGGCCUGGGACUUCUGUGCUUCAUUCACUCCUGAAAAAGUUAGCAUAAAUGGCUCUGUAGAGGAAGGAGUCGCAAUCCGUCCGGCGUGGGGGAACAGCGGCUUCCGACAGGCUCUCAGCGGAACUUUCCUGUUCGAGGCGCGUGUUCCCGUCCGGGCGGCCGGGCGCGCGGGCCGGGAGGGGGAAGCUUUCUGGCGCGGACCGCCAGCGGAGGCUGAGAGCGCCGCCGCCGGAGAAGACCGACGCUUAGCCGGAGCCAGCCCGUGGCGCCCGGGCCUGGCCGGUUGCCUCCCUCCAUCCCCGCUGCCACUGCCGCAGGCACUGCCAAGGCGGGCGCAGCGGAGCGCUCGGCCCCUCGGCCCUACCCGGCCCGGCGCGGCCCCGAGCCGCGGCGCGGGAGGACCCCUGCAGUGGACCAUGAGACGGUAA
rnacentral:lncRNA from 1 species